rnacentral:rRNA from 1 species
AGUGAACGCUUGCGGUAGGCCUAACACAUGCAAGUCGAGCGGCAGCACAGUAAGAGCUUGCUCUUACGGGUGGCGAGUGGCGGACGGGUGAGGAAUACAUCGGAAUCUACUUUUUCGUGGGGGAUAACGUAGGGAAACUUACGCUAAUACCGCAUACGACCUACGGGUGAAAGCAGGGGAUCUUCGGACCUUGCGCGAUUGAAUGAGCCGAUGUCGGAUUAGCUAGUUGGCGGGGUACAGGCCCACCAAGGCGACGAUCCGUAGCUGGUCUGAGAGGAUGAUCAGCCACACUGGAACUGAGACACGGUCCAGACUCCUACGGGAGGCAGCAGUGGGGAAUAUUGGACAAUGGGCGCAAGCCUGAUCCAGCCAUACCGCGUGGGUGAAGAAGGCCUUCGGGUUGUAAAGCCCUUUUGUGGGGAAAGAAAAGCAGCAGGUUAAGACCCCGCUGUUCUGACGGUACCCAAAGAAUAAGCACCGGCUAACUUCGUG